GACGAACGCUGGCGGCGUGCUUAACACAUGCAAGUCGAACGAAGUGGCGAACGGGUGAGUAACGCGUAAUCAACCUGCCCUUAAGAGGGGGACAACAGUUGGAAACGACUGCUAAUACCGCAUCCUGAAGGUGGGGAUUGCGUCUGAUUAGCUAGUUGGAGGGGUAACGGCCCACCAAGGCGAUGAGCAGUAGCCGGUCUGAGAGGAUGAACGGCCACAUUGGGACUGGGACACGGCCCAGACUCCUACGGGAGGCAGCAGUGGGGAAUCUUCCGCAAUGGGCGAAAGUCUGACGGAGCAACGCCGCGUGGUUGAUGACGGCCUUCGGGUUGUAAAGCUCUGUUAAUCGGGACGCGGUACCGGAAUAGAAAGCCACGGCUAACUACGUGCCAGCAGCCGCGGUAAUAC
rnacentral:rRNA from 1 species